GGAAAGAUGGCUGAGUGGUUGAAAGCACCUUCGGUACAGAAGGAGCGGAUUAACAUCUGCCGAGGGUUCAAAUCCCUCUCUCUCCG
rnacentral:tRNA from 2 species